rnacentral:rRNA from 1 species
UACGAAGGGUGCAAGCGUUAGUCGGAAUUACUGGGCGUAAAGCGUGCGUAGGCGGUCUCUUAAGUCCGUUGUGAAAGCCCUGGGCUCAACCUGGGAACUGCAGUGGAUACUGAGAAGCUAGAGUGUGUCAGAGGAUGGUGGAAUUCCCGGUGUAGAGGUGAAAUUCGUAGAUAUUGGGAAGAACACCGAUGGCGAAGGCAGCCAUCUGGACCGACACUGACGCUGAGGCGCGAAAGCGUGGGGAGCAAACAGG